rnacentral:lncRNA from 1 species
GUGGUGAUUGCAGGGUCAGUAAACAAUGAUUUCGAGCCUUUAGAAAAAUUAAUGGACCGACCGUCGGAUGGGAUGAGACCCAAAGGCCGAGAGAGUGGACGUGGGUGGCCCAUUAGCCGUGGGCGAUCAGGGCGUUACAAAAAUAUUAUUGAAGAAUUGAAUUGAAUCGUUAGUAUUACAUAUACCAUCGGUCUAGGUUCUUCAGGUAGA